rnacentral:rRNA from 1 species
UCCCAGACUCCUACGGGAGGCAGCAGUGGGGAAUAUUGCACAAUGGGGGGAACCCUGAUGCAGCGACGCCGCGUGGGUGAAGGAGCACCUCGGUGCGUAAAGCCCUAUCAGCAGGGAAGGAGAUGACGGUACCUGACUAAGAAGCCCCGGCUAACUACGUGCCAGCAGCCGCGGUAAUACGUAGGGGGCAAGCGUUAUCCGGAUUUACUGGGUGUAAAGGGGGCGUAGACGGCGAUGCAAGCCAGAUGUGAAAGCCCGGGGCUCAACCCCGGGACUGCAUUUGGAACUGUGUGGCUGGAGUGUCGGAGAGGCAGGCGGAAUUCCUAGUGUAGCGGUGAAAUGCGUAGAUAUUAGGAGGAACACCAGUGGCGAAGGCGGCCUGCUGGACGAUGACUGACGUUGAGGCUCGAAAGCGUGGGGAGCAAACAGGAUUAGAUACCCUUGUAA